rnacentral:rRNA from 1 species
UACGUAGGGUGCGAGCGUUGUCCGGAAUUAUUGGGCGUAAAGGGCUCGUAGGCGGUCUGUCGCGUCGAAAGUGAAAACCCAGGGCUUAACCCUGGGCCUGCUUCCGAUACGGGCAGACUAGAGGUAUGCAGGGGAGAACGGAAUUCCUGGUGUAGCGGUGAAAUGCGCAGAUAUCAGGAGGAACACCGGUGGCGAAGGCGGUUCUCUGGGCCGUAACUGACGCUGAGGAGCGAAAGCGUGGGGAGCGAACAGG